CUUCAAGACUUAGCGCUCCAGGGAAAAAGCCACUGCUUUCGGCUGUCUCUCUGGGGCUUCGGGAAGGUGCGCGUGCGCAAAUCGCCUCCGUCGACUCCCUUCUCAGAUUGAGGGAGUUGGCGCCUCUCGGCCCUCCUGGCUCUUUUACAGAGAUUAUCAGAUCGGCGUAAGAUCUGGCAUUGCCUGGACGUCCAGAAGGAGCAUCUGAGAGGCGAAUGCAGCCGUUUGUCACAGUCAAAAGUGUUGUUACCUACAAAGUUCACGCCGAAGAACUGCACGGUUCAGUGACAGAUCCUGUCUCAAAAAAUAAGGUUGAGAGUGAUUAUAUGAAGAUUCCAGACCUCCACCACACAUAACCAAGAAAAUUUCUGAGGUCAAGUCCACGAUCAUCACGGUGGGGAGCGUGGUGGCACAAGCGUAGGCCUGGCACUGGAGCAGGAGCUAAGCUCUUACAUCUUGAUCUGCAGGGUCUCAUUAUGUAGCUGUGGCUAACCUGAAACUGAACUAUGUGGGCCAGGAUGGCCUUGAACUCACGAAGAUCCACUUGUCUCUGCCUCCCGAGUUCUGGAUUAAAGGAGGGGAUGAGCACGGACCAUAGCACGAGAGGUCAGAACAUUCCGAGGACGGAGACUGGGACCCAAUUUACACAGAGCUACCAAGAACAGCUGGACAGCAGGCAUUUACAGAAACAUCUGGAGCCAUGAAGUGCCCCACCUGACCAGAGGGAAAGUUUAGUAUUUUAUUUUGUUUUAGUUUUUGCUGAAAGGUUGAAUGAUUUGGUAAAUAAAAUAGUAAAUGAA